rnacentral:rRNA from 1 species
UUGAGUAGUGGCGAGCGAAAGCGGAAAAGCCUAAACCACCUUAGUUAAGGCUAACGUGGGGUUGUAGGACUGACACUUUGACUUGGUAAGAAAACUCAAAUUAUUCUGGAAAGAUAAGCCAUAGAAGGUGAAAGCCCUGUCGAGGCAAUCAAGCUAAGUUAGUCAGUAUCCUAAGUAGGUCGGCGCUGGUGAAACACCGACUGAAUUUGCCGGCACCAUCCGGUAAGGCUAAAUACUCCUAAGAGACCGAUAGUGAACUAGUACCGUGAGGGAAAGGUGAAAAGUACCCUGAACAAGGGGGUGAAAAGUACCUGAAAUCAUACGCUUACAAGCGGUCGGAGCCCUUUUUGGGGUGACGGCGUGCCUUUUGCAUAAUGAGCCUACGAGUUACUCCUCUCUAGCAAGAUUAAUCACGUUAACGUGAGUAGUCGGAGCGAAAGCAAGUCUGAAUAGGGCGACAAAGUU